GGGAGUGUGGCUCAGUGGUAGAGUGCUUGCCUAGCAUACCUGAGGCCCUGGGUUCAAUCCCUAGCACUGCAA
rnacentral:tRNA from 1 species